rnacentral:rRNA from 1 species
AUCAACGCUGGCGGCGUGCCUAACACAUGCAAGUCGAACGAGAAAGUCCCGGCUUGCCGGGAUGAGUACAGUGGCGCCCGGGUGAGUAACACGUGGAUAACCUGCCUUCGAGUGGGGAAUAACCCUGGGAAACCGGGGCUAAUACCGCAUGACACUUGGCGACUGCGGUCGCUGAGUUGAAACCUGGAAACGGGGCUCGUUGAGGGGUCCGCGCCCGAUUAGCUAGUUGGUGAGGUAACGGCUCACCAAGGCUGUGAUCGGUAGCCGGCCUGAGAGGGCGGUCGGCCACACUGGAACUGACAUACGGUCCAGACUCCUACGGGAGGCAGCAGUGGGGAAUUUUGCGCAAUGGGGGAAACCCUGACGCAGCAACGCCGCGUGGAUGAUGAAGCCCCUUGGGGUGUAAAAUCCUUUCGGCAGGGACGAAAUUUUGACGGUACCUGAAGAAGAAGCCCCGGCUAACUUCGU